rnacentral:misc_RNA from 1 species
GACAUUGUCGUUCGUUCAUUGGCCGUUAACGAAGAUAAGUGGCGACCGAGCGCCACGCAGCUCCAUGCGCUCGGAACAUAUUCGCUCAUUCCUCAGUAUUUGUCCAGACUCCAGACGCGCAACAUCGAGCACCCUCAGCCAUCAACCGUCACUCCAACAAAAUGGUUCUACAAAUUAAUUCAGUGCUGGUCGUCGAUGGCGUCGGGUCCAACUGCACGGACAUACUCAACUCGCAUGGCAUCAGUGUGAUCAACAAGCCGAAGAUCAGCAAAGAAGAACUGCUCCAAGAGAUACCGAAAUAUGACGCGUUAGUGGUAAGAUCAGCGUCUCAAGUGACCAAGCAAGUGCUGGAAGCUGGCGUGAAGCUGAAGGUGGUGGGCAGGGCUGGUGCUGGCGUGGACAACAUCGACGUCACGGCCGCGCAGGAGAGAGGCGUGGGGGUCAUCAAUGCCCCCGGAGCAAAUGCCCUCAGCGCCUGCGAGCUGACCUGCAGCCUGAUCCUCAACCUGUCGAGGCAUGUGGUGCCUGCCGCCGCAGCCCUGCGCGCCGGCAGGUGGGACCGCGCCCUCUACACCGGCACGGAACUCAACGGCAAGACUCUCGCCAUCCUCGGUCUCGGCAGGGUCGGCAGAGAAGUCGCCGUCCGCAUGCACUCCUUCGGCAUGAAGAUCAUCGGCUACGACCCGUUCGUGACGGCGGAGCAGUGCGCCAGCUUCCACGCCACCAAGAUGGAGCUCGAACAGAUCUGGCCUCUGGCUGAUUACAUUACACUGCACACUCCUCUCAUUUCCUCUACUAAAAAUUUCAUCAACGCCAAAGUCCUGGGCCAAUGUAAGAAAGGCAUCAAGAUUGUUAACGUAGGACGCGGCGGUCUUAUCCAGGAACGUGACCUCCUCGAUGGACUGAACUCUGGACAGGUUGGCGGAGCAGCUCUUGACGUGUUCGAGCAGGAGCCGCCUACAGAUCCUUUGACCUUGGAGAUCAUCCAGCACAAAGCUGUCAUUGCUACUCCUCAUUUAGGUGCUUCAACGAAGGAAGCCCAAGUGCGAGUGGGUCAGGAGAUAGCGGAGCAGCUGGUGAACCUCGUGAAGCCUGGCAGCUACAGCACUCCCCUCGCCGAGGUCACCCGCGUCCUCAACAAGCAGGCUUGAACAUGGAGUUCCAUUAUAUCUCUCUGUUACAACUAUAUUUAAGUAUAGUUUAAUUUAUUCUGGUAAAUAAUAACACUGGUCUGCAGCAUUUUUGUCCCAAAAGUGAAAUAUAGAAUUAAUUCUUGUACAAUAUUUGAUACGUAAUCGAAGUCCAUAACAUAAAGUUGCACUAGCACGUCGGGAUUUGAAGAUGUACUCCUCCGAAAGUUCUAAAAACGCGAUAUUUACGAUGUUUGUCAAUUUUUUUUUAAGGUCAUCAAAAUUGUUUGGUAAUUUCUAACUAAAGCAUUAUACAGUACCUACCAUUGAUUAUAAUCACCACUUACUUACUUACCACUACACUUACUUAUAAUAAUUACACACUAGUUCUGGUAGGUAUAGACACGCCACUCUCUCUCUCUUUCAAGCUAUUUAUCCCACAUGGUGGUGGUCUGCUUUCCUAAUUUUUCUGCUGGUGGCUCCACUGAAGUCUACAAAAUGCUGGAAGCGCAUAAACCUGUCCAGGAGCCCGGACCCUGGCGCAAAGUUACAACCAUGCGGUAUCAAAUAUUCUACAAGAAAUUAUAUACUUAUAUCACUUUUGGGACAAAAAUUAUAGCAAUUUGCAGACCAGUGUCUUCUUCUUCUUCUUCUUCUUUCUCCUGCCCUGUUCCCAAAUUUUACUUGGGGUCGGCGCAAUUUGUCAUGUAUUAAUGUACCAUGUACACCAGUGUAAUUCAUUUAAAACUCUAUCAGGUAUCACGCGUUACAUCACAUCAUAUCCUCGAAGUUUAAAUAUUUAUAUAUGUACACAGCUUAUUCUCCUUCAAUAUCUCAAUACUGUUAAUCAUGAUACAUUAUAGCACUGAUAGCAGUUAAGCAAAAUUAUUGACAAAAAGUACCUACUUUUUCACUACUGAAAAAGCUAGUCUUGAAUAUAAACAGUUUAGGUAUACCUAAACCCUUUCACAUAUGACAUGUCUAAAUAAUAAACAUGUUAAAAAAAAUCAAAAACAAAUAGAACCUUCAUGAUUAAGUAGUUAAGUAAUUCUCUAAAUCAAACAAUCACAUUAAAAAAUCGUAUCGUAUCGUCGAAGUUAGUAAAUCGUUGUAGGUUUAUAGGUAGUAUUAAGUCUAUUAUGUCUUAAGUAUCUAGUAUUAAGUCAGUUGCAAAAACGUCCAAAAAAAUUAAAGCUUCUUUAAAUUUAUUGCUGAUAUUUUGUUGAUAAAGAUAGAUUUAAUGAAGCUGCUUUAAUGGAUUUUUGUGCACGGUUAGAAUAAGUCUUAUUUUUAAAAAAUCACUAUACCAGGUACAAUCGUUUUCUUUUUUAAGUUUCUUGUAGCAGAAUUUUACUUUGAAAAGGCACACUUUUUACAGGCUAUGUUUAAGUUUAGUGUUAAGUUUAUUUUGAAAUAAGUUUUGUCAGAAUGCAUGAAGUUAUUUAGUUAGUUAUGUAGUUAGUUUAUUUAAAAAUAAAAUAAAAUUAUAAAAAAAAAGAAAGGAAAAAACUAUUUGAAAAAGGGGCGGGGGGAAAAAGGGGGGAGCAGGGUUUGAACUUUUUAUUUAAGUAUGCAUGUUUUUCUAAAUUAAUUGGAAGCUGAUUGUGGAUGCACCAAUAAAAUUAAUCAAUAUACCUACUCAA